AGGACGAACGCUGGCGGCGUGCCUAACACAUGCAAGUGGAGCGACGAACCAGGCUUCGGCCUGGGGCAAAGCCGCGAACGGGUGAGUAACACGUGGGUAACCUGCCCCGAUGACCGGGACAACCCGAGGAAACUCGGGCUAAUACCGGAUGUGUCCUCCGGCCAUAAGGCCGCUGGGGAAAGGAAGCUUCGGCCUCCGCAUCGGGAUGGGCCCGCGGCCCAUUAGCUUGUUGGUGAGGUAACGGCUCACCAAGGCGACGAUGGGUAGCUGGUCUGAGAGGACGAUCAGCCACACUGGGACUGAGACACGGCCCAGACUCCUACGGGAGGCAGCAGUGGGGAAUCUUGCGCAAUGGACGAAAGUCUGACGCAGCAACGCCGCGUGAGGGACGAAGGUUUUCUGAAUUGUAAACCUCUUUCGACAGGGACGAUAAUGACGGUACCUGUAGAAGAAGCACCGGCCAACUACGUGCCAGCAGCCGC
rnacentral:rRNA from 1 species